UCAACGACGCGAUGAAUUACGUAAAAGUCAGAAUUGUGGUAUAGUUGUUGCAGGCUAUCAUGAAAAUGAGUUUAUUGAUUUUUAUGGUAUUAUAACUGACAUCAUUGAGUUAGAGUAUGUUGAUGAGAAUUGAGUUUUUCUAUUUAAAUGCAAGUGGUUUGAUCUUCGCAAGAAAACAGGGAUGCAAAAAGAUAAACAUUUUACGAGCAUAUGUGUUAAAAGAUUUUGGUAUGAACAUGAUUCUUUCGUACUAGCUAUUCAAGCAAAACAAGUAUUUUACAUUGAUGACCCAAAAUUGGGGGAAAAUUGGCGAAUUGUGCUCAAAUUUCAAGAUAGACACUUAUAUGAUGUCCCGGAGAAGGAAAAUUCAGAGACAGAAAGUGAUGAGUCGCAUAUUACAAAUAAUGAUGUGUAUCAAGACAUGUCACUUGAAAGUAAUUCGAUUGUCAAUGAUACGGUGGAUAUGUUGAGUAAACUGCAUAGAGAUGAUGUUGAACCGAUUACCCUGGAUACAAAUGUAAUUGAAUUGGAGGCUCAAACAGAACCAAAAGUUGAAGUUGAUUAUAUCGAAGAAGAUUCUGACCAAGAGGAUGACACUAUGGUAGAGUACAUAAGUGAUAAUGAGGAGAAUGAAGGUAAUAAUAGUACUAAUGACGAUGAAGCUGAUAGCACAGGUGAUGGCGACGACAUUGGCUUGUGAUGUAAUCUCAUAAUUGUAAGCCAAGUGAUGUAGAUGGUGAACCUACAUCACCCAUGGACACAAUAAGAUCAUCCGGUGGUAGUAAUCCUAGUGACAACUAUUAAAGUUUGUUGUAUUUGGAUUAAAUCUAUGAAAAUGUGAUUGUGUGGUUAGAAUGGAUGUUAGAAUGGCUGGAGUGAAUAUUGGGUUUAAAUUUAGUUUGUAAGGCUGAUGAUCGUACUUUAUGAUGAUAUUUUUGUGUUGUUAAAAUAUGUUGAUAUUUCUUAUAGUUAAUAUGCCUUUUUGGGUUUGAUUAUGAGGUCUAUAGGUUAAUAUGCCUUUUUAGAUUUGAAAUGAAUUUGGGGAGCCAUUUCUUAUGCUCAAAGUGGCGAGAAAUGUGAUAAAGUUGAAUCACGUCGUGCCACGAUGUUAAAUGUGGCACUUGGUGGGAGGCAACCUAUCGAUUUCAAAAUUCUUAGUCGUUUUUUGAAAUUUUCUGUUUUAGAAUAGUUUAUUAUAUUAUUUUUUACUAAUAUACCAAGUUUCAUGUUAUUUGGAAUUAAUUGGACAGGUUGAAGUUGGUUAAAAUAGUGCAAAACUUAUCUUGGUUAAAAUAGUGCAAAAGUUUUCUUGCUUAAAACAGUGCAAAGUUCUCUGCCAGUUACAUGGAGUGCAGGCACAAAGAAGUCCCAAAGUGUUUUGUGGUUCAGAAGGUUUGCCUUAUUUUGGGUCCAGGUAAGUGUUAGACCAUUCACCUCUCCUAUUUAUUUCACUGUAACUCCCAGUUCCCCGACUCCCCUACACGUUUCACGACCACCAGGUAUGCUCCUCUUCUCUUCUCUUUAUCUCCCUCUCCCUCGCUUUCUCUUUGCUGGCAGAAUUUUGUUUUCAUCAUUUCUAUACCUGUGGUUUCUUUGUGUGGAAUUUAGAUAACAAAUCGUGAGAAUCGGGUGCUGUUGUUUGAUCGUGAUGAAUAUAUGAUUGUUGAACUAUAAUUCCCACUUUUUGGGAGGGUAACUCUAUUAUCCCAUUGUCACAAAAAACUUGGUUAAAGUUAUGCACAUAACGAGUUCGAUAUAUUGUCUGAAAGACGAUUUCAUUCGCCAAUGAAGUCUAGGUAACCAGGUGAAAUUAGGAGAUGCGUAGAAGUGCGUUUUGGAUAGUGCCGGUUGGCUUUAAAGUGUUCUGUUAAGAUUUGACCAAUUUAUAAGGAAAUGAAAAUUGGGGAGAGGAAAAGUGUUACACGGAGCAUUAUGCUAAUCUAUAGCCAUGAAUUUUGAAUUGCUGAAUUGCAUUGUUUUAUUUGUUUUGUUGAGUUGAGCCUUUGAUAAACAUGAUCUUCAUUUUAUUGUAUGAUCAAUGAAUUCUGUCAGUAAACUGAAUGGUCAAUCACUGUUAUUCUGAUGUAAUAUGGCAGGAGUUGUUAUUUUAUACUAGAAUUGGGACAAGACACGUGAGGCUAGUUAAAACUGAAAUUAUGUGAUGAAAUGCUGGGCCUCAAUCAUCCACAUUGUUGACCAUAUUGAUCUUGAUGCUUGCAGUGUUCUCGUCAAGCCACUUUAUGAAACGUCCAAGAGCCUUGCUCAGAAAAUGAUAAUGGCUGUAAGAAAUUUCUUAUGUUUGUGCCUCAACAACUGGCUAUUUUAAUAAGUCAACUUACCUUAAGAUAUCUGUGCAGGCCUUCCGAUACAUAAGGCAGAUAUCCCAAGAAGCCAAUAGAGAAAUCCAAUAUGCUGGAGGUCGGCAGCCUGCUGUGUUGAGG